AACGAACGCUGGCGGCGUGCCUAACACAUGCCAGUCGAACGAAACCUUCGGGUCUAUUGGCGCCCGGGUUCGUCACCCGUGGGGUCAUGCCCUUAUGUUCGGCCUAACUCUCCGAAAGGGGUGCUAAUACCGGAUAAUAUCUUCGGACCGAAGAUAUAUUGCCUUUGUUUGUGCCAGAGUUGGAUUAGCUUGUUGGUAGGGUAAAAGCAUACGACGGCGACGAUCCGUAGAUGGUUUGAGAGGAUGCUCAGCCACACUGGGAUGCGGACACGGCCCAGACUCCUACGGGAGGCGGGAGAGGGGGAUAGAGGAAAAUGGGCGAAAGGCUGAUCCAGCAAGGACGGGAGAGCGAUGAAGGCCUUGGGGUUGUAAAGCGCUAUUACCCAGGAUGAUAAUGACGGUACCGGGAGAAUAAGCCCCGGCUAACUACGUG
rnacentral:rRNA from 1 species